ACGAACGCUGGCGGCGUGCUUAACACAUGCAAGUCGAACGGAAAGGCCCUUCGGGGUACUCGAGUGGCGAACGGGUGAGUAACACGUGGGUGAUCUGCCCUGCACUUCGGGAUAAGCCUGGGAAACUGGGUCUAAUACCGGAUAUACCUCGCUGGAUGCAUGUCUGGUGGGGGAAAGCUUUUGCGGUGUGGGAUGGGCCCGCGGCCUAUCAGCUUGUUGGUGGGGUGAUGGCCUACCAAGGCGUCGACGGGUAGCCG
rnacentral:rRNA from 1 species